CUAGGCAGGACUUAAGAGAAUGGGGGACCUGAAGUAUUCUAACAUGUUUGGCAAUGAAGAAUGAUUGUACUUACAAAUGGCUUCACUUUUUGACAUGGCAAUGCCACCACUGGCAUCUCUUCUCUGAGAUGGUGAUGAUAUGAGAACAGCCUUCUGCAUCAGGGAUUUUAUUUUUUUGCAAAACCGCUUUUGCUAUAUUCUUAGCCUUUUCUUAGGUAGCACCAAGUAGUUUCUUGGUUCUUUUGACCUUAUGGAAUGUUUAACUAAUACGAGACUCCUGUUCUCUUGGAUUGAUUGGUGUAUGAGGAGAACUUCGCCGCCUUGCCAAUUCGAGCGGCAUAA